rnacentral:rRNA from 1 species
UGGCCACUACGUCUAAGGAUGGCAGCAGGCGCGCAAAUUACCCACUCUCAGAAUUCAGAGGAGGUAGUGACGAGAAAUAACGAGGCAGUUCUCUUCAGAGGCCUGCCAUCGGAAUGGGUACAAUUUAAACCCUUUAACGAGUAUCUAUGAGAGGGCGUCUGGUGCCAGCAUCCGCGGUAAUUCCUGCUCUCAAAAUGCAUAGAAUUAUUGCUGCGGUUAAAAAGCUCGUAGUUGGAUUUGUGCCGGUCUGUCUUCGGACGUGUACUGGUCUCAGCACUGGCUUUCCUGCAGUGUUCGACUCAACCAACUUCAGUGUUGUUUUGAUGUCCGGUGCUGCAAGUUUACUUUGAACAAAUCUGAGUGCUCUAAAUAGGCCUUUCGCUUGAAUGUUUUUGCAUGGAA